AUUGGAACCAGACUGAAGAAAGUGCGGCAAGGUAGAGGUCUCAGAAGGAAAGAAAUUGAUGUUGAAUUUAAAUUUAGCUAUUUAAGAGAAAUGUCCUUAAACAUGAGAUUUGAAGCAAAAGACUGAAUUGUGCUUUCAGGACCCUAUGGAAUGCCCUCCCUGUUGGUGUUAAUGAUUCCAUGAUAACCAGACAGCACAAGCUUGGAAGAGGAAGGUGUGGCUAAUAUCUCUGUAGAAUGGUAAAUACUGGGACCGUCAAGACAGCCUUUAAGGCUAUGUAGAAAAAAAAAAAACCUCUAAAAACAUUGGUUUAAAAUAUAUAAUUUUUCAAAAUAUUGGGAUGCAAUAUGAAUUAUACGAGGGGCUCCACGAAUCUAAAGGAAUAAAAGUAGCUGUACGGUGAGCCAUCUUGUUAGAAAGAUACAAAGGAGAUGAGGAGAUUUAGGGAGUGGCGACUGCAGGAGAUCCCACCUAGCUAAACUUGUUUGUUUACACAUACAGAGGCAGACAGAUUACUGAGUUCCCGGUAGGCCCAGCUCAGAGCAAGGUUAGGCUUGGGCAUACAGUAGAAAUGGUAAUUUCAGGGUGGUGUCUCGCCCAGCUAGCUACUGU